CUGGAGUGUAGACAAUAACUUUGCCUGGUUGAAGGGCUGCUGAGAUCAUCUGGAGGUCCUGCAACUGCAUGAGGGGAGAGGCUGCAGUUCACAGCUGUGAUACGCUAUUUGGGUCACGGAUAUCCUUGGAGUCUGAUCCUAUGAAGACUUGCUACUACAGAUAUAUGGCCACAUUCUGUGCCACCUAUUAGGCCCAUAAAGGAUUGAGGCACCUA